rnacentral:rRNA from 1 species
UACGGGGGGGGCAAGCGUUGUUCGGAAUUACUGGGCGUAAAGGGCUCGUAGGUGGCCAACUAAGUCAGACGUGAAAUCCCUCGGCUUAACCGGGGAACUGCGUCUGAUACUGGAUGGCUUGAGUUCGGGAGAGGGAUGCGGAAUUCCAGGUGUAGCGGUGAAAUGCGUAGAUAUCUGGAAGAACACCAGUGGCGAAGGCGGUCAACUGGCCCAUAACUGACGCUCAGGCACGAAAGCGUGGGGAGCAAACAGG